GACCGUGCGAAGGUAGCAUAAUCAUUAGUUUUUUAAAUGAAGGCUAGAAUGAAUGGUUGGACAAGAAAUAAUCUGUCUUAAAUUAAUAUAUUGAAUUUAACUUUUAAGUGAAAAGGCUUAAAUAAUCUGAAGGGACGAUAAGACCCUAUAAAACUUUAUAUUGAAAAGUGAUAGGUAUAUUUUGUUUAAAGAAUUAUUACUUUAAAGUAUUUGGUUGGGGUGACAAAAAUAGAAGAUAAAGUAACUGUUUUUUUUUUAUACAAUAAUGUUUGGGUUAGUGAUCCUAAAAUGGAUUAAAGAUUAAGUUACUUUAGGGAUAACAGCGUAAUUUUCUUUAAGAGUUCUUAUCGAUAAGAAAGUUUGCGACCUCGAUGUUGAAUUAAAGGUUCUUUAUGGAGUAGAGACUAUAAAAGAAGGUCUGUUCGACCUUUAAAACUUUACAUGAUUUGAGUUCAGACCGGUGUGAGCCAGGUUGGUUUCUAUC
rnacentral:rRNA from 1 species